AAGAAGCAUCCCCGCCGACCCUUGGGGAAGGCCGCCGCGGCACCCCCAGCGCAACCAAUCAGAAGGCUCCUUCGCGCAGCGGCGCGCCAACCGCAGGCGCCCUUUCUGCCGACCUCACGGGCUAUUUAAAGUCCCCUCCAGGGCAGGUGACUGAGGCCGUGAAGGUGGCCAUUGACGUCGGGUACCGCCACAUCGACUGUGCCCAUGUGUACCAGAAUGAGAAUGAGGUGGGGGUGGCCAUUCAGGAGAAGCUCAGGGAGCAGGUGGUGAAGCGUGAGGAGCUCUUCAUCGUCAGCAAGCUGUGGUGCACGUACCAUGAGAAGGGCCUGGUGAAAGGAGCCUGCCAGAAGACACUCAGCGACCUGAAGCUGGACUACCUGGACCUCUACCUUAUUCACUGGCCGACUGGCUUUAAGCCUGGGAAGGAAUUUUUCCCAUUGGAUGAGUCGGGCAAUGUGGUUCCCAGUGACACCAACAUUCUGGACACGUGGGCGACACUUUUCUCUGUAGGCCAUGGAAGAGCUGGUGGAUGAA
rnacentral:lncRNA from 1 species